GACGAACGCUGGCGGCGUGCUUAACCCAUGCAAGUCUAGCGGAGCGGCGAACGAGUGAGUAACGCGGGAGUAACUGACCCCAUCUCUGGGAUAACAGUUGGAAACGGCUGCUAAUACCGGAUCGUGGUGAUGGAGUCGCUUCCUAUCAGCUUGUUGGUGUGGUAGUGGCCUACCAAGGCGACGACGGGUAGCCGGCCUGAGAGGGCGACCGGCCCCGUUGGGCUGGGAUACCGCCACAACUCCUACGGGAGGCAGCAUUGUGGAAUAUUGCGCAAUGGGUGAAACCCUUAUGCAGCAACGCCGCGUGCGGGAUGACGGCCUUCGGGUUGUAAACCGCUUUCAGCCAUGACGCGGUAGUGGCAGAAGAAGCACCGGCUAACUACGUGCCAGCAGCCGCUGUAAUAC
rnacentral:rRNA from 1 species